CUCACUUUCCAGAUGUGGGGAUCUGGUAAAUUUCAGUUUCUUGAUACCGUCUGGGAGGAUUGCUGGCUGGUUUCCUGAGAAAGGAAUUCAGAUGACAUAAAUGUAAAUUUCUCCUUGGGUUUCAAGACUGAGAGGGUCAAUUUCUAGGUUUAUUCAAGAAAAACCAUAAACAUCAGUUCUAUGGGACAAUUGGGCCCAUUUCAAGGCUCUGAGGAUAAGGGUUAAUGAGGGGACAGAGUCGCCUGGAGAAGUUCACUGGGGCCUACAAGAAACUAGAGAGGCUUCCUGGCAAAGCUCUAUGCUGUCUAUCCUCUCUUCUCUCCUUGCAGGAAGAUUCCAGUAUAAUAGACCCGAGGUGAAAAGGCUUUUGUUCAAUAAGUAGAAAACUGAAGGGGGGUGGGAGGCACAUGGAUUUGAACCAGAGACCGCUUGGCCUGCAGGCAAAUGCUGUACCUUCAGUUGCACCCCUCACUUGUUACAGCUGUUUCUGAUAAGCACUUGUGCAGCCCCAUCAGCACCUCGAUUUCUUCUUGGUGAGUCCAUGGGAACAGCCCCACUGCAAACAACCCAUUCCUGCUCUCCUCUUUCCUCUAAACCUCAACCUCCUCCUACCUGGCAGUCCACAGGCCUACAGCUUCUCCUCAGUGGGAAAGACAUCAGCUUGGAAAACCACUUGGAAAGCCAACGUUAUCCUAGAAAAGCUUUUUAAAUGACCCAGCAGGACAAGUCUCCGGAUGGCCUUGGCCAACCCGGUGCUUCCCUCUUUUCUUGGUUGUAGUUCUCAGAAUAACUAGAGAAUGUACUGGGAGUGUUGUCCUGAGAUAAGGAGGAACUGUCCUAAACCUGGACUCUGUUCCCAUCACACCUAGAACAGGAUGUCCUGCAACGCUUUAGCCCAAUGAUCCAAGUUGCCCUUGGGGUAUAAAACUUGACAGCAGAGGGCGUUCAGGGUCCCUCAGCUGCAGUGUGAAGUGGGACACACAGGUGAGACUCCAUCUGCCCUGGGCAGGUUCCUGAGCCUUGGGGGACCAGUUCACCCUACAUCCCAGGCUUCUGUUGUCCCUUGCCUGCCUGUAAGGAAUAAAGUUGCUUUGCUU
rnacentral:lncRNA from 10 species